CUACGUCAGCAUUUGUGAUACCAUCUAUGUUCAACAAUAUAAACUAAUUCAUUCAACACUCCCACUUUAGUUUACAUUUUUGGGAGUACUAAAAGAAAAUCACGAUAUUUGGUCAAUUUAGGAAUUGGUAACUGGGCGGAGUGAGCUUGACGCUAGCUUUUAUCCAUCAAUCUUCUUAUAGCCCUAUAUUGAUUGACCCUACAAACUUUUUCGCCAAAGCAAUUGGCGUUGUUUAAACAAAAGCUAUUGUUAGAGGAAGCCAUUUUCUGUAUUUGGCUGCGCGGGAUUUCAUAUUUUAUCAUCAUGAAAGUUUUAAUUACAGGUGAUUCCCUGGAGAAGUAUUUAGCUAAUUACUUAAAUGCUGAAU